GCGGUCGAUUUGGACCCUUUCACCCAACGCAACGCUGAACGUUGGAGAUGCCCUAACCCUAGCAUUUCGUCCCCAUCUCCCAACGAGACCACUGUACCGUACGACCCCGCCGCCGCUGAGCUCCGGGUACUCGUGCGCGGCCUUGUCUCCGGCGGGCGAGCACGACGUCCGGGACUCAGGCGAGUCGCUUCUGCGGCGGCCUGAAGGAGGAGUUAGGACGCGAUGGAUCUCCCGCCCCCCAGCGCCUGGGGCUUGGGCGAGCACGACGUCCGGGUCGGAGGCGACUGCUGCGGCGGACGGGGGCGGGGCACUGCUGCGGUGGCCUCACGGAACGCCUAUAUUCAGUAGGUCAUGGCCAAUGCUGUUGCCAUUGCCAACCAUCUGAUAAGCAAGGGCUAAAGCUGGUUACUGAUGGAACAGAGAACCACCUUGUUCUCUGGGAUCUUCGCCCUCUUGGCUCGUCUGAAGUAUGAGAGCUCACCCGAUAUACAGACGGAGGAUGUUGUCAGUUAAGGCAAGAAGAUAUGUAGGCCAACCUGCUGGCAAAAUAUUGGGACUAAUUAGUGAAGCACAGGUGAUUUUUUUACAAGUGACAUUGUUCAUAUAUGUAUAUUUUGGUCUGGGUUAGUAAGCAUACGGUUUAGUCCCAUAUGCCCAAUAUUACCCAAUUCUCUGAUGGCUACACUUUCAAAGCCUCAAAGGUGUUUCUGCCCACUAGAUAUUGUUUGUGAGGCUGUCCUUAUUUUAGGCAUGGAAAUCCUUCUAGAGUUGAUGCUUUCAAACAAUACAGGCACUAUUGUUCCCAGAUGAGGUUCUUUUAGAUCUGUUUCUCAUAGACAUCUGACCACUCACUUCUGGCCAUUUAUUAUGAUUUUCUCUUAGAUUUGUUCAUAUGUGGUUUAGAAUUUCUUUAUACUAACAGGGGAUUCAUAUCUGCACCUAUAAUCUAAAUGCAGAUUAUUCUGAUAUGGAUGUAGACUGUAGGAUGCCACUGACUAUACACCGUCACCCAUUCUGACUGCUUAUAGGCUACCAUGUUUGACCCUCAAUCAAUCUUACACUGUUCAUCUUAUCAACCUGUCAUGAAAUUUCUUUAUUUUCUAUCUUAUGAACCUGAACGGAACGUUUGCAACUUUUCCAUUGAACAUUUAGUGUUUAUGCCUUGAUUAUAUAGCAUAAACUAGAUACCGUUUAGUGUAAGGUAGUUCUCUUAACUUAUGGGUACAUCUAUAUAGUUAUUUUGCGUCUAUAUAUUUAUAAUGUCAUCCCAUCGCAUGCCAUGCCAUCCGUUGUUGUUGUAUCAGCUGAUUCUGCUGUUCUGAAUGGUGCAGCCUAAAUCGCAGUCAGUCUGUUGUUCAGCUAACCAAAGUACCGGGUUAUCGCAGAAUCAAAAUCACAAUGAAAAGGUAAAAUCCAGUUUCGUAACUGAAAAUAUCUAAAAUACCACCGUUGUCUUGGUUUGCUUCAUAAGCAUAGUAAUUUGCUUACUACGGUACUAUAUUUUAACAUGAUCUGGUUACAUUUCACGUGACUGAGCAUGUCCCCUUGGAGUUACAGAUUUUUGUCUUGGAUAACAAUGAAUCAGUCAACUGGUGAUUUCUUCAAUUUUAUUACUCUCUAAACUGCUCACUACAAUACUAUGUAAGUAAUGAGUUUUAGGCUGCAUUUGAGCCUGGGAGGGGUUAUCGCAUGUUCGUCCUCUUGAGCAUGCUAUGGGUAUGCGUAGGAAUCUUAUGCAUUGAUUUUUUGCCUCCACAAAUAAUGUUUUUGAUCUGGCCAUUUUAUGUUUGAAAUCGCGUAGAUUUUGGGUCAAAUUGUGCAGCACAUUGUCCGUUCAGUAUUAUUGGCCAUAGGAUUUAGAUUAAUUUGUGAGACACGUUUUCUAUGAACUGAUCAACUAACAGAUCUCCCAGAGCAAGAAAAUACUUUCUUUCUUUCUGGAUAUAGGUUCACAAGCACGCAGAGUCUCUCUUAGGUUCAGAACCACCAGGAUUUCAGUUAACUCUGGGAUAGUUUCUGUUCGGUGUCAAGUAUCAGAUCAGCACCUAGCACUAUCUUAUGCAGAGCAAUAUAUCUCAGAUUCAGUGGGACAUACAUCAAUAUUAGUUGGUGUUGUGCACACAAUCAAUGUGACAACAAAUUUUAUUUGCUUUGCAGGGAAUGUUUCGAGGCACAAGCUUGACCAGUAAAUAUUCCAUUACGUUUGUUUUCUCUUGCUUGCUAUUGUAAACUCCCAUUUCUUGAUGUCACUGUAUAAUUUAAAGAGUAUUGAGUGUACGAGAAAAAAAGUUAAGCUUAAAUGGCUCGAAACUGUUUUGCGUGUAGGAUAAAAAAAAAGAUGAGGUCACGCACAACAUAUGUGAAGACUGGAGUUAAUUGCGUUUGCGGUAAGUGAGUGGUUCAGUUUUCUGGUGAUUCCAUAUGCAUGUAUGUUAGUAUGUUAGCAUGGAGUGGAGUACUAAUCAGCGUGAUAAGGCUGUAUGUAUGACAUGAUUCUUCCAUCUCAUCUUCAGAACUAUCACAAGCUUUAUAAGUUUUUUGACACACUUUUACUAUUUUACUAUCAAAAAGUCCUUAAAUUUCUCAGACUGAAUACACCAUUGUAGAGGACAAUAUAUUGGACACAUUCAGACAUUAUAUAGAUCCUCUAGCCUGUAAACGUGAGCUAUCAUGCAUUUACGUCAUCCUAAUUGUGACUUGGAGUUUUAACAACCAUAAUAUGUUUCGGAGUGACUGUUGUUGUAACCGUAGAUCAAUACCAUGAAUACAAGAUCAGCAUGUGAGAUGAAGCAUGGCCAAAUGGUGCAACAUGUCGGAUAAAUGCAUUUUAUGUCAAACUUACAAUGAUAAACGGGUGUUAUGGUUGACAACAUAAAGCUGUAGAGAUUUUGAGAGAGAUGGGCUAUCACUGUCUGGCCUCCACUUAUUCCUGGUAAGGCCUUGCCAAAGAUAUCGGUAGAACCACUACUUAUGUUGAAAAAAGUUGGUUGAUGUUUCACUGACUUAGUUUUUUCCAAUCUGUCAAUAUGGUUAGGCGUUAUCUAUUCAAAUAGUUUGCAUUACUUUCAAUUUAAUUGGUGAACUUCUGACCCAUGGUAUUGGUCACAGCCAAUCAUUUAUUUAGUAGAAAAUCAAAGAUUUCCAAAUUUCUGACCGUGCAUAAAUAUAUCUCUGUUUCAUGUAGAGUUGAUACUACAAUAUGGAUGUCCCUUGGCUUCCUCGAGAUCCACAAGUUCUUUCAAAGAUGGCCAGGGAAAGCAAUAGCAGCAAGCAGCUUUUAAAGAUGCCUCCAACAAUAAAGCCGGAGCAAACAAGGGCAUUUUGGCAUCUCUGCUAACAAAAUGAGAUUCAGAUAUUGAUGUCCUACGAUAAGCAACAUCGGUCCUCCCCUCCUCUCAACAGCUAAGGUAUGUAUUGUUUGAUUGUGGUGGCAAACUAAUUGUUAUCAUGCUCGAUCAGGAACCACAUUCCUGUAUAUACGCAUUGGAAGAAGUACCACCAAGACCAAGAGCUCCUAUGUGACUUUUACGGAAAGUGGAGGGUAAAUUUUCAAUGGACACGAAGCAGUCACCAGUAAAAGGUGCAUGCAAUAAGCAUCUUCAUAAUAACGUGGAAAAACUGGAAGGUGCGUUGCUUAGUUCAGCGAUGGAUAGCUCAGAAUCUAUAAGCUGGAUGCAUGUAUGUGUUUCUUUUCACGGAGACUCGUACACAGAUAACAACCAAGUCAUGUGGAUCUGUUCAUGGAGACAUACCGCAACAAGGACGACCGCUACUCCCCUAAAGUAGAACUUGUUCUUCGUCAGACUGAAAGAGAUGUCUCAACCUACACCAGAUUGAGAGAGAAAGAAUGAGACCCAGGUUUUAUCCGAGGUCCUUGGUAAGAGAAUAAAGAAACCUAUGUUUCUUCAGAAUGUGGGAAUGUAGCAUAAACCCACUCGAUCAAAUAUGAGCACCCUACCUGAUUUGUUGGAGACCGAGCGGAGGGGAAAAACAGCAAGAUCUUGUCGACUCCCGUAAUGCUAAUCUGUUCGAGCUUAACAGAAAGGUACAUGAAGCGAGAGAGAGGCAUGCUGCCCUUGAGUAAGGCUGGCAAUGGGUCGGGUUUGGUUGCGUCAACCUAAACUUGACCCAUGCCCAUCACCCUUAUCGGGCACACCUGUGACCCACGACCCUACCCAUGGGUAAGGAGUGAGACCCAUCCCCAAACCCAUCGGGUACAAAAAAUGGAGAGUUUGACGCAACCAAAUAUUUAGAACACAUCGGCACAUUGUUGGGCUACCAGGACGAAGAGUGGUGUGUUCCCGUUCAUGGCUUUGUGACUGCAAGUAGUACUAAUAUGCACAUGUUUAGUUUCUGGAUACAAGAGCUUUGUGUGUAAACGAUAUAUACUGUCUACAUGUAUAAUGUAUGUGUAUCAUAGCUCACGUACCAUAAAAAUAAUUCAAUUGUUUUAAUUAGUAA